GCCCUGGAAGAGCAAGCCACAGCAUCCAGAGGCUCAAUGAGGUGGAACUGCACACUUACUGUUGGAACAUAAUCAAGUUCCAUCAUCCACAUCCAUAUUGAAUGUAUUUCCAGGUGCCUGAGGUAAUACAUGAAAUGCAAACCUCUAUGGUUCCUACCCCUCAGGGAUUCACAAUGUGAGAGAGAACAACUGUUGUGUGAGGCCUCAAAAUUAAGGUGUGUCUUAUACAUGGGGAAAUAUGGUGUGUUCCUUUUGUAACCUCAGUCCCAAAGAUCAUUGGUAUGGGACUCCCUCCUUAUUGGUGGAGAUGAUUGUCCUGCCCUUUGUGAGGGGUGGGGCAGAGUUGGCCAGAGGACGAGAACCUCCCUCUCUUCUAUUUUCAAGUCCUGCUGUCCCUUGGGUGCUUCUGGCUUCCAGCUUCAAGAAAGAAGAUAGAAGGGACCAACCUCAAGUUCAAGUCCUGAAGAAAACUACUCCAGGAAAACAUGGCCAGACUAUGUGAUUUGCCAAGUUGAUUAAAUUGACUAAUCAAGUCUGACGAAGAAAUUCUUUUUUUUUUUUUAAAGUUUACCAUUUGUACCAUUUUUUCAAGUCAGAAAAUUUAUACAAAAUAAUGUUUAUGGCAAAAUGUUCAAAUAGUCUUAAAGGGCCACAACUCAACCAGGCCCUGCUGGGGACAUUUCUCCAGCUGGGCUUUGAGAUGUUAUAAUUGCUACAAGCUGGACGGGCCCUGCUCUGGAUGCAAGAAGGUUGGUAUGCAGUAUCUCCCACCUCCUUACAAUGCAUCUUCCCUAGAUGGUUCACACUAGAAUGGCAGAAUCACAGAAUCUAAGAGUUUAGAGGGACCACAGCAGCCAUCCUGUCCAAUCCAUACUCCAAAGGAAUCUCCACUACAUACCAGACAACUGGGCAUCCAGUUUCUGUUCGAAGACCUACAAAGGAGAAGAACCCAUCACUUCUUGCAGCAGCCCAUUCAACUUUUGGACAACUCUAAUUGUUAAAGGUUUUCCUUGAUAUCAAGCCUAA